UACGUAGGGGGCAAGCGUUGUCCGGAUUUAUUGGGCGUAAAGAGCGUGUAGGCGGCUUUACAGGUCCGUUGUGAAAACUCGAGGCUCAACCUCGAGACGCCGGUGGAAACCGUAAAGCUAGAGUCCGGAAGAGGAGAGUGGAAUUCCUGGUGUAGCGGUGAAAUGCGCAGAUAUCAGGAAGAACACCCGUGGCGAAGGCGGGUCUCUGGGCCGUAACUGACGCUGAGGAGCGAAAGCGUGGGGAGCGAACAGG
rnacentral:rRNA from 1 species